UACGUGAGGGGCAAGCGUUGUCCGGAAUCAUUGGGCGUAAAGAGCGUGUAGGCGGCUCGAUAAGUCCGCUCUGAAAGCCGGGGCUCAACCCCGGGAGGCGGGCGGAAACUGUCGGGCUAGAGUCCGGAAGAGGCGAGUGGAAUUCCCGGUGUAGCGGUGAAAUGACGCAGGUAUCGGGAGGAACACCAAUGGCGAAGGCAGCUCGCUGGGACGUGACUGACGCUGAGAGACGAAAGCUAGGGGAGCGAAGUGGG
rnacentral:rRNA from 1 species